rnacentral:rRNA from 1 species
UACGUAGGGCGCAAGCGUUGUCCGGAAUUAUUGGGCGUAAAGAGCUCGUAGGCGGUUUGUCGCGUCUGCUGUGAAAUCCCGAGGCUCAACCUCGGGCUUGCAGUGGGUACGGGCAGACUAGAGGUAUGCAGGGGAGAACGGAAUUCCUGGUGUAGCGGUGAAAUGCGCAGAAUAUCAGGAGGAACACCGGUGGCGAAGGCGGAUCUCUGGGCCGUAACUGACGCUGGAGGAGCGAAAGCAUGGGGAGCGAACAGGA